rnacentral:misc_RNA from 1 species
GAUGAAGAACGUAGCGAAAUGCGAUAAGUAGUGUGAAUUGCAGAAUUCAGUGAAUCAUCGAAUCUUUGAACGCACAUUGCGCCCUUUGGUAUUCCUUAGGGCACGCCUGUUCGAGCGUCAUUUGAACCCUCAAGCUCAGCUUGGUGUUGGGUGUCUGUCCCCGCCUCCGCGGGGACUCGCCUCAAAAUCAUUGGCGGCCGGUACGUUGGCUUCGAGCGCAGCAGAAACGCGAACUCGAGGCCCGGCGGAUCGGCGACCAGAAGUCUCUUCUUCACAGUUUGACCUCGGAUCAGGUAGGGAUACCCGCUGAACUUAAGCAUAUCAAUAAGCGGAGGA